rnacentral:rRNA from 1 species
CCUACGGGUGGCAGCAGUGAGGAAUAUUGGUCAAUGGGCGCAAGCCUGAACCAGCCAAGUCGCGUGAGGGAUGACGGUCCUAUGGAUUGUAAACCUCUUUUGUCGGGGAGCAAGGCCCGCCACGUGUGGCGGGAAGGAGAGUACCCGAAGAAAAAGCAUCGGCUAACUCCGUGCCAGCAGCCGCGGUAAUACGGAGGAUGCGAGCGUUAUCCGGAUUUAUUGGGUUUAAAGGGUGCGUAGGCGGUCCGUUAAGUCAGCGGUAAAAUUGCGGGGCUCAACCCCGUCGAGCCGUUGAAACUGGCAGACUUGAGUUGGCGAGAAGUACGCGGAAUGCGCGGUGUAGCGGUGAAAUGCAUAGAUAUCGCGCAGAACUCCGAUUGCGAAGGCAGCGUACCGGCGCCAGACUGACGCUGAGGCACGAAAGCGUGGGGAUCGAACAGGAUUAGAUACCCUAGUAGUC